rnacentral:rRNA from 1 species
GACGAACGCUGGCGGCGUGCUUAACACAUGCCAGUCGAACGGAAAGGCCCUGCUUUUGUGGGGUGCUCGAGUGGCGAACGGGUGAGUAACACGUGAGUAACCUGCCCUUGACUUUGGGAUAACUUCAGGAAACUGGGGCUAAUACCGGAUAGGAGCUCCUGCUGCAUGGUGGGGGUUGGAAAGUUUCGGCGGUUGGGGCUGGACUCGCGGCUUAUCAGCUUGUUGGUGGGGUAGUGGCUUACCAAGGAUUUGACGGGUAGCCGGCCUGAGAGGGUGACCGGCCACAUUGGGACUGAGAUACGGCCCAGACUCCUACGGGAGGCAGCAGUGGGGAAUAUUGCACAAUGGGCGGAAGCCUGAUGCAGCAACGCCGCGUGCGGGAUGACGGCCUUCGGGUUGUAAACCGCUUUCGCCUGUGACGAAGCGUGAGUGACGGUAAUGGGUAAAGAAGCACCGGCUAACUACGUG